UCUAAGUGUAAAAAUUUUUCUAAAGAAGUACUUGUUAUGUUCUUGAAAUUUAAAGAUUUUGGCGGUAUUUUAGUCUUUUCAGAGGAACCUGUUCUGUAAUUGACAAUCCACGAUUAUUUAAACUUAAAUUAGUAGUUUGUAUAUCGUCGUGGUUUGAAUGUUUUAAAAGAAUUAAAUGUUCAUCUUUUUAUAUAAAAAUUUAUAUCAGAUCAAGGUGCAGCUUAUACUUAAGUAGAAAUGGGUUACUUAUAAAUUUAUUUUUGGAUUUAAAAUUUAAAAUUUUAUUGAAAUUGGAUUUGAAAGUAAUUAGAUGUUAUUCUUCUAAUGAUUUAGCUCUAAAAUAUGC
rnacentral:rRNA from 1 species